UGCUGCUUUAUCGACUGAAAUUGAUC
rnacentral:piRNA from 1 species